UUGUCAUGAAUUCUUUAAUUUUUUCAUUUACCAAUUUACAAUUACUCACUAUUUUGUCAUAGACCAUGACCUACCUUAUGUUAAUAAUACUAAUGCUCUGUCUCCCACAGGAGGAAUACAAUAGCUCAAAAGUGUAUCCAAUCUUUCCCCGUUAUCCGAUCUUAAAGGACAUGAUAAAGGAUAUAAUGCAUAAUCCAGACUAUAUGGAAGUUUGUCACGAGGUGGACCAAGCAUAGCGGCCAGACCCCCUCCACCGCUCGCCACGUAUGACCUUGUAAAAAGGAUCUUAGCGUGGACGUUGGUGAAGGGGGUGUACCAGAAACAAGCCUGAGCAAGACUUUCACUUCUCCAUUCAUGCACGUUUCGUCUGAUGAUAUUCAGCCGGUACAUAUUUACAAGAAACUAUACAUCACCUUGUGUGUACGCUAAUUGGAAUCAUAUUUGUUAAUUGAAUGCCCGAAGAAAAUAUGCGUGAAUGCAAAGUAAAGAAAUAUGACAUUGAGUUGUGAGGGGAAAAGGAACAGAAGAUAGAUUUUAUAAAAAAAUAUAUAAUUAAACGAACAUUCCUUUGAAGAUUCUCCGUAUGUUGGAAUGAUGCUUCUAGUAUAGUAUUUUUCGUGGUAUUUUAUGGUAUCACGAGAGAUCUGCUACUUGGCGACAAUAAAUAACAAUACAAAUGCAGAAAUUAAUUUUUGUUGCAUUUUUAUUGAAUAAAGAGUUUUUAGAAUUAUAAAAUAACUUAUUAGUAUUUCAAGAGAGAAGAGGAUAAUUCAUCAAAAAUGAAAUUAUGUAAAAUUAUUUGCUUGUUGUGAUUCUAAAAUUUCGUCUUUUCGAUCUGAAAAAUAAGAUAAUUAUCAAAAGGAUUCUUUAAUGUGAAAAUUCAUCAAAAUAUAGAAAGAAAUAAAGAUAUAUUUCGACAGGAGCGCCAAGUACUACAAGAACAACUAAUUUCAACAUAGGGAAGAAAUAAAAUUGAUCAUCUUAGUUUCUGAUUACGAUCGGAAUAGCCGCUUGCACGUUGAAACACAAAAUACAAAAAUUACACCAGUACGUUUCAUACGUAAACGUUGUGUAAAGGUGGUGUAAAAUUUUUGUUAAGGCAGUUCAUAAUGGAGAAAAUCCUUAGAUUUAUAAGAUGUGUCCCCAUCGUCGAGUGUUGUGUAUCUUUGUAUGCAAAUUAUAUCGUAUGCGCGUGCAUGUGCUUAUCAAAAUAAACAAAUGAUUUAAGUGAUUAAGUGUAAAAUGCAACACUCUGCUUUCUGCUACUCGAUGGUCGUAAUAAGUGAUGCCGUCAUUAAGCACUGUCAACUUAAUAAGAGUUUGUUGAACAAAGGAGACCUCUCUUUACCUACGAACAGGACAAACGGUAGCAAUUUAGUAAGAUAAUAUAUUUAUUCUGCGUCAAAUAUCGCUUUGCGAAUGAUGACACUCUUUUUCGUAAUACAGAAACAUUUUGCUUCGACUACGGUGGGAACUAGAUAUUUAGGUAUAACAUCAUUAACUCAUUAAUAAUCGUUGUCGUACGCGAUGGUGUAACUGUAACCGAUGUAACACAGGAUGAUGUUGAUGGUGAUGUUGCACAGAGAAAAAUUUAUUGCAUCCAUUAUUUUAUGUUAUAAUUUUUUCUAUAGAGUUUAUUGAAGUUUAAUAUCGUACCAACUAUAAAAUUAUUAGCGGUACUACAGGAGGAUAUAUCGUAGUGCGAGAUAUUAAUUUGCACUAAUUUAUCAAGUAAUUUUGUAUCCUCGAUAGAUAUUAACAAACUUGAUUUCGCUUUAUUCGUGCAUAUUCAACACUUAAAUAGCGAUUUUUUAAAUCUCAUACUGGAAGUCAUUUGAAAAAGAAUAAGUCAUUAAAAGUUCAAUACAAAGGAUUUGUCUUUCACUUCUAUCAUGGUUCUAAAAUUUCUUCUCGUCUUUUUCUUUCGUAAAAUUUUAAAUUCUGCAGGAAUAAUCUUUUCUAUUUUAUGAAACAAAUGAUUCUAUACCUUUGUAUUUUGUUGUAUCUAUGCUUUAUUUAUCAAUUGUUUAGAUAUGUAACAUUAUACACAUAAAGUAUUUCUUAAACUCCUAAAAGAAAAAUGCCUAACAGAGUUAAAAUUUAUUUAUCUUGAACAUAUAAAAACAUAAUUUUUCCGUCUAGUGAAAGUGGAAAAAUUGCUAUCAAUAUCUUUACUUCGUGCAGAAAGCAGUUCACUUAUAAUAUCCUGUACGAACUUCUUUUCAUCAUCAGUUGAAAAACUACACGAUGUAUGUGCUGUAUUCACAUUCGACUCCAAUUGAAACGCAAUGACUGCUUUGUAUAUCUUGGUUGAAACAGUGCUAACCAUAGAUCAUACACAUUUACGUUAUUGUAUAAUAACGCAGAAAGAAAAGGAUGUAUUCUUUAAGAAAUUAAGGACGUUAAGAUUCUUGAAAAAAAGUAGAGUUAGAAAAAACGAGAAUAGCCGACGAAUUGCAUAAUGUUGAUGUGUGUAAGUAAAACUAUUAGUUUGCAAUUCAUGUAACUAGAUAUCCGAUGAAUGUGACGUAUGUUAAUAAGCAAGUAAAAUGUUACAAGGAAAUUGUGUGUUUGUAAUAGCGUUCCUUAAACGGACUGGCCCUUAUAGAUAACAUUUAAAGAAAAUGCUUUUGUGUAUGAACUGGUGUUCACUAGUACACGACUAACUAAUAGACAUCAUGCUAGAUUAGUUAAAAUGUAAUGUAUGCUAGAUGUUAUAGUGUUGUACUAGUGUUUACAUCUUCCUAUUUAUGCGUUCUGUGUUUCCUGGUGGAAAAUAGCGAGUAGUUACGUGUACAAGUAGUUUUAAAAACGAUCUUAGUCCAUUGAUUUGAACAGAAUUCUAUAGUACAUAUCGAAUGUACGAUUUUAAUUUCCCUGUAAUACAUCUUUGUUACCGCUAUAAAACUUCACUUGUUUAUUGGUUGUUAAGCUUUGUUAAUAAAAUACUAUAAAAUUUAAA